ACUGGAAACGGUGAGUAAUACCGCAUACGCCCUUCGGGGGAAAGAUUUAUCGGAGAAGGAUCGGCCCGCGUUAGAUUAGAUAGUUGGUGGGUAACGGCCUACCAAGUCUACGAUCUAUAGCUGGUUUUAGAGGAUGAUCAGCAACACUGGGACUGAGACACGGCCCAGACUCCUACGGGAGGCAGCAGUGGGGAAUCUUAGACAAUGGGCGCAAGCCUGAUCUAGCCAUGCCGCGUGUGUGAUGAAGGUCUUAGGAUCGUAAAGCACUUUCGCCAGGGAUGAUAAUGACAGUACCUGGUAAAGAAACCCCGGCUAACUCCGUG
rnacentral:rRNA from 1 species